ACAGAAAAGUAAAAAAAUUACAUUUAAUUUCGACUUAAAAAUUAGGAUUAAAUUCCUAUGUU
rnacentral:tRNA from 1 species